GAUGAACGCUGGCGGCGUGCCUAAUACAUGCAAGUCGAGCGAACAGACCAGGAGCUUGUUCCUCUGACGUUAGCGGCGGACGUGUGAGUAACACGUGGAUACCCUACCUAUAAGACUCGGAUAACUUCGGGUAACCGUAGCUCAUACCCUAUAAUAUAUUGAACCGCAUGGUUCAAUAGUGAAAGACGGUUUUGCUUUCACUUAUAGAUGGAUCCGCGCUUCAUUAGCUAGUUGGUAAGGUAACGUCUUACCAAGGCAACGAUGAGUAGCCGACCUGAGAGGGGGAUCGGCCACAGUGGAACUGAGACACGGUCCAGACUCCUACGGGAGGAAGCAGUAGGAAAUCUUCCGAGAUGGGAGAAAGCAUGACGGAGCAACGGCGCGUGAGUGAUGAAGGUCUUCGGAUCGGAAAACUCUGUUAUUAGGGAAGAACAAAUGUGUAAGUAACUAUGCACGUCUUGACGGUACCUAAUCAGAAAGCAACGGCUAACUACGUG
rnacentral:rRNA from 1 species